AGUGAACGCUGGCGGUAGGCCUAACACAUGCAAGUCGAACGGCAGCACAGUAAGAGCUUGCUCUUACGGGUGGCGAGUGGCGGACGGGUGAGGAAUACAUCGGAAUCUACUUUUUCGUGGGGGAUAACGAAGGGAAACUUACGCUAAUACCGCAUACGACCUAUGGGUGAAAGCAGGGGAUCUUCGGACCUUGCGCGAUUGAAUGAGCCGAUGUCGGAUUAGCUAGUUGGCGGGGUAAAAGCCCACCAAGGCGACGAUCCGUAGCUGGUCUGAGAGGAUGAUCAGCCACACUAGAACUGAGACACGGUCCAGACUCCUACGGGAUGCAGCAGUGGGGAAUAUUGGACGAAGGGCGCAAGCCUGAUCCAGCCAUACCGCGUGAGUGAAGAAGGCCUUCGGGUUGUAAAGCCCUUUUGUUGGGAAAGAAAAGCAGCAGGUUAAUACCCCGCUGUUCUGACGGUACCCAAAGAAUAAGCACCGGCUAAGUUCGUG
rnacentral:rRNA from 1 species